AACGAACGCUGGCGGCAGGCCUAACACAUGCAAGUCGAGCGAGGGCUUCGGUCCUAGCGGCGGACGGGUGAGUAACGCGUGGGAACGUGCCCUUUGCUUCGGAAUAGCCCUGGGAAACUGGGAGUAAUACCGGAUGAGCCCUUUGGGGGAAAGAUUUAUCGGCGAAGGAUCGGCCCGCGUUGGAUUAGGUAGUUGGUGGGGUAAUGGCCUACCAAGCCGACGAUCCAUAGCUGGUUUGAGAGGAUGAUCAGCCACACUGGGACUGAGACACGGCCCAGACUCCUACGGGAGGCAGCAGUGGGGAAUCUUAGACAAUGGGGGAAACCCUGAUCUAGCCAUGCCGCGUGAGCGAUGAAGGCCUUAGGGUUGUAAAGCUCUUUCAGCUGGGAAGAUAAUGACGGUACCAGCAGAAGAAGCCCCGGCUAACUCCGU
rnacentral:rRNA from 1 species